GUGAUCACAUCAGCAGCACAUAUACUAAAACUGGAAAAAUACGGAGAAGAUUAGCAUGGCCCCCGUGCAAGGAUGCCACACAAAUUCAUGAAAUGUUCCAUAUUUUU